CCCAUCCUGAUGCAGUAACUCUUCCAAGCAGUGCAGCUAUAGUAAAUUAUUUUGGAGGAAGGAAAGAUCUGGACAGUUCUAACACCACUUCAUGUGAUGACACAGGCAAGAACAUGAAGCCUAGUGGACCAUACACUAUUGCUACCGAGCAGGUAUCUAACAGCAGAAGAAAACCUUCAGAGCACCUACUUACACAAGAAGGGGGGAAAACAACGUUCAUUUUCAGCUUUAACAAAACCAGUUGUUUCUGCAAGUUUCUGCCGUCCUGCUGUACCACAGCUGCUCCAGCCCCACCGUCAGCUUCA